rnacentral:rRNA from 1 species
CAGUAGCCACGGGAAUACGAAGGGUGCAAGCGUUAAUCGGAGUUACUGGGCGUAAAGCGUGCGUAGGCGGUGAGUUAAGUCUGCUGUGAAAUCCCCGGGCUCAACCUGGGAAUGGCAGUGGAUACUGGCAAGCUAGAGUGUGUCAGAGGAUGGUGGAAUUCCCGGUGUAGCGGUGAAAUGCGUAGAGAUCGGGAGGAACACCGAUGGCGAAGGCAAUCCCCUGGACCUGUACUGACGCUCAUGCACGAAAGCGUGGGGAGCAAACAGGAUUAGAUACCCCGUAGUCCCUGUCUCUUAUACC